rnacentral:rRNA from 1 species
AUUGAACGCUGGCGGCAGGCCUAACACAUGCAAGUCGAACGAGUGGCGGACGGGUGAGUAAUGUAUGGGCAACUGCCUGAUGGAGGGGGAUAACUACUGGAAACGGUAGCUAAUACCGCAUACCAUCAGAUGUGCCCAGAUGGGAUUAGCUAGUUGGUGGGGUAACGGCUCACCAAGGUGACGAUCCCUAGUUGGUCUGAGAGGAUGACCGGCCAAACUGGAACUGGGACACGGUUCAGACUCCUACGGGAGGCAGCAGGGGGGAAUAUUGCACAAUGGGCGAAAGCCUGAUGCAGCCAGGCCGCGGUUAUGAAGAAGGCCUUCGGGUUGUAAAGUACUUUCAGCGGGGAGGCGUUACCCGCAGAAGAAGCACCGGCUAACUCCGUGCCAGCAGCCGCGGUAAUUC